GAAUUGUUCACAAUGGGCGCAAGCCUGAUGACGCAACGCCGCGUGGAGGAUGAAGGUCUUCGGAUUGUAAACUCCUGUUGCUCGGGAAGAAUGGCUCCGACCCAAUACGUCGGAGUAUGACGGUACCGGGUGAGGAAGCCCCGGCUAACUCUGUUCCAGCAGCCGCGGUAAUACAGAGGGGGCAAGCGUUGUUCGGAAUUACGGGGCGUAAAGGGCGCGUAGGCGGCCUGUUAAGUCGAACGUGAAAUCCCCGAGCUCAACUCGGGAACUGCGUCCGAUACUGGCAGGCUCGAAUCCGGGAGAGGGAGGUGGAAUUCCAGGUGUAGCGGUGAAAUGCGUAGAUAUCUGGAGGAACACCGGUGGCGAAGGCGGCAUCCUGGACCGGUAUUGACGCUGAGGCGCGAAAGCCAGGGGAGCAAACGGG
rnacentral:rRNA from 1 species